UGAGUUGGUGCUAUCAUACUUGUGUAUUACGUCACAAGGGAAAGUACCAGCUUUG
ensembl:miRNA cin-mir-4005a cin-mir-4005a